GUGUGCAGCGGUACGAAUGUGUGACAUUCAGCCUCCCAUUUGAUAGCGUAUAACAAGCUAAGUAGGCGUUGUACAACAGGAGAUGGCGCACUCAAACUGACAAAGAGAAUUCAAGAGGUGUUUGUUGGUCUCAAUAAGAGCAUGAUCCAAAAGUGGUUGAACAAAAAAACCAUCGGUCCAGAAGACCAAGCCCCAAUUCCAAAACUGUGCACCACUCAUUCCUGUAGGGGCGUGCAGUGUAAUGGAAAGGAAUCAAGUGGACUUGGUGGACAGGAGGAACGUUGGUGGAGAGGGUUAUUACAAUUACAUAUUGAGUGUGAUUGAUGUCUUUAGCAGGUACUUGUUCCUGAAGGCACUUAAAUCAAAGACUUCCGAAGAGGUAGCUGGUGUUCUCGCAAAUGUAUAUGAGGUAUUUGGACCCCCCAAAAUCUUACAAGCAGACAGAGGAACGGAAUUUAAGGGAACUGUUCGGCUGCUGAUGAGUCGACUUGGUGUAAAAAUAAUCCUCAGUGCACCUUACAAGCCAGAAUCACAAGGGAAAGUUGUAUGCUAAAAUCUUCAAGAAACAAUAUGGAGCAGCAACUGGUGAAGAGAUGUAUGCUGACCUUGAAAGGAAGAGCAGCACCAGUUAUGAGCCAAAAUUGAAGUGACACCUGACAAUCAAACAAUCGUUGCCAUUUGCAUUCCUCUUACGAAGAGGGUACAUGAAACAUAGUGGCGAGAUCAUUUUCGUUGAUUCAAGCGGGAACUGUGACCGUCACAACAGUCGCAUCUUUGUGGUUCUAACACACUCAUCUGCUGGAGG